AACAGCAGACAUAGUGGCGACUUCCUGCCGAGAGGCCCACUUCUGAUGACGAUAACACCUGUCUCUUUGUGUAUGCAUGAGAUCACUCCUUGCUUUACAACUUACACGCAUGCACAAAUGGAGCUGCUAAUGGGUUUUACUUGGUUCUGCUUCAUGAACCGCUGGUUGCCUGUGUCUGCUACAUUAUUAGUUCACUCCUUUGUUCUUGCCGCUGUGUCCUCACAGCACGGGGUGAAGGUCUCCCUGGAAAAGACUCUGCAGAAGCUGUGAUACUGGAGAAUAUUGGACAUAAUUUGAAUAUUUUAAGGAACUUUGCCUGUGUGAUGUUCAGGUGCUCCAUUAAGCAUCUUUGGAGAGCCAUGGCCUGAUUAUAAGAGCAGCAUGCCCCACACAGGACUUGGUUCCGAGCAUUCGUAGGUACAACGAUGUCAAAUGGUGUCUCCAGAGUUGCAAUCUGUAACCAACCCCGACUACUAGUUUCCUGAUAUCCCAUGAACCCUGAUGCUCAGAAAUGAUCAAUUAAAUGUAAGGCCUGUCAACUUCCUGAAAACUUUCCUAAACACCUGGGAUUAAAGGUUACAAUACACAAACAGAA